UUUAAGUGUAACUAUAAAUUUUUUUAUUCCCAACUUUAACCGUCUAUCCAUUUAAAAAUAAUUUAUAAUUAAUAUUUUUGUUGUUAUGAGAUAAUAAAAUAUGAAUAUUACUCUAUACGUGACUUAUGAAAAUUAAAAUAGGAUAGACGGUCAGGUUGUGCACAGAAAAUAUAGGAUGGAAGAAGU
rfam:Oryza nivara chromosome 9, whole genome shotgun sequence.